rnacentral:rRNA from 1 species
CUCAACCUCGGAACUGCAGUCGAUACUGCUGUGGCUAGAGUCAGGUAGAGGAGAAUGGAAUUCCCGGUGUAGCGGUGGAAUGCGCAGAUAUCGGGAGGAACACCAGUAGCGAAGGCGGUUCUCUGGGCCUGUACUGACGCUGAGGAGCGAAAGCGUGGGGAGCAAACAGGAUUAGAUACCCUGGUAGUCCACGCCGUAAACGUUGGGCACUAGGUGUGGCGAUCUGACCAAUGAUUGCCGUGCCGAAGCUAACGCAUUAAGUGCCCCGCCUGGGGAGUACGGCCGCAAGGCUAAAACUCAAAGGAAUUGACGGGUCCCCGCACAAGCGGCGGAGCAUGCGGCUUAAUUCGAUGCAACCCGAAGAACCUUACCUGGGUUUGACAUCAUGGGAAAAGCCGUGGAAACACGGUGUCCGAAAGGGCCC